AGGCUGCAACUCGCCUACAUGAAGUCGGAAUUGCUAGUAAUCGCGGAUCAGCAUGCCGCGGUGAAUACGUUCCCGGGCCUUGUACACACCGCCCGUCACACCACGAGAGUUUACAACACCCGAAGUCAGUGGCCUAACCGCAAGGAGGGAGCUGCCUAAGGUGGGGUAGAUGAUUGGGGUGAAGUCGUAACAAGGUACC
rnacentral:rRNA from 1 species